CGCGCGGGGGCUGCGGGUAGCGCUGGGCCCGCGGGAGGGCGAGGGGAAGUGGCGGCAGCUGUUGCUGCUCCGCUCCCCGUCCUCUGCCCGGCUGCGUGAGCCCCGCGCUGCGGGAGCGGUUUAACGUGUUCCGCCUCCGAGAAGCGUAGUGUGGGCCAGGGGCUGGCCGCCGCCGGAGGUGGAGGAGAGCCGCAGGCAGUGGUGGCGGCCCAGCCGUACGCCCGACCCCGGAGCAACAGCGGCGGUCCCCCGCGCCCCAGCCGGGCAGCACACCCGCCCGCCUCGGCGCCAGUGUCCGAUCUGGGUGCCUUCCCGCUGCCUUUCCGUCCAAGGCUCGCCAGCAGGCAGUUAGGCUCCCUCUUUGCUUGCAGGGCAGCGCCGCGUGUGGGGGUCAGCCGUGGUUUGUUUGACGGGUUUGGAUGGGAGACGCGAUGGGAGCAGCAGCAUCCGGCAGCCAGAACCAAAAUUAGUGCGCUCCAUCCACUGUAGUCGCGGAAGCAAAGCAGCGCGACGCGGUUGCUUUAAAAACAAAAAAGCUACCUAAAAGCCCCUCUCAGCAUACCUUCAAUUCUUCUCUCUGCCUUUACUUUCCCACACUUUAACAUCCCAGGAAAGGGUGUUUUAAGGGUGUCUGGGAGAUGAAAGUUCAAUUAGUUCUGGUUAAAGAGCUGUGAGAAGGUAUAGCUCCCAUCAGGAGUGGUGUCUCUACAGCCUGAUCUGCAGAAGCACUAGAAAUACUCUUGCACUGUAUGGAGCUUUCCCAUGGGGGAAGAAAGAGGGGGGGGGAACACGGAGCUGGGUAAACAGAUCCUGUGGGUAAGGGGGAGAGGUUGUGUGGUAUUGAUGUCGGGGAGGGGAGAGAGGGUGGUUAAUUUGUUUCAAGGUAACUUGGUGGUGAUGUUAGGGUCUUUAGUAACUACCCAGCACCUUAACUUCUGUCUGGACACAAGCAGAAGUCCCUCUUACGUUUUCAUCUAGGUAGCCCUUCUUGUAUUAUGUAACCUGUAGUAUUCUCCAGCGGCUUCUCUUUUAAGGUGAAGUUUUAUUGCAUUAAUGUAAUCUUGAAGUAAGAAAAAUUAUGAUAAUGCCAGCAGCGGCCUCCGUAUAUUACAGUAAAAGCCUGCAAUGAUCAUAAAAAGCAAAUUCAAUUACUGCUAUAAUGUUCAUAGCUGAUAGCACCUUGGGAAAUAGGAGAGCUUAAGGCUGAUGACUAUUGGGAAGCAUACUCUUAGUUAAAGUAUUGUCUGUUACUUCCAGCAUCUCUGUUGACCACAUCAUGGGUAUAUACAGUAGGGUGUUACGAGCCUUUAGCGACACUUCCUCUAACAGGAAGGUACCAAGAUGCUAUACUACUACUCUUUAGGGAAAGAAGCAAUUCUUCCUUACCCAUUGCAGUCUCUCGAGAAAAAAAAAUGAACACUGUGUGAUUCAAUAUUGAGUCAUUCAUGGCGUACAAGAUUGUAGCUGCUGUAAGAAUAAUGCAACAGUCAGACAUGGUCACUACUGGGUGAACAUCUGAGAUUCAUUCAUCUCUGCAAGGUGAUUAACACUUGAACAGAAUAAGGUCUAGAGCCAGACUAAAAAAUCUCAAGAACCAAUUAUAUUGAAAUUCUGUGAUGUGUCUGAUAACAAAAACAUACUUCCUUUGACAUUAAACCAAGCCGACAGGUAACUUUUCAAACAGAUACCACAGUAGCGCAUCAUUCAAAAUAAUAAGCAGACAGCAGUGUCUGCUUAGUCUAAAAAGGGAGAUUUGAGUGCUGUGUGUAAUCUUGGAAGAGACAAUGCCUAAAUUUCUCCUCUACUGAUGUUAAGUAAUUGCUGAAGAAGUGGCAGAUACAGGUUUUAAGCAUACCUUAGUCUGGAAGGAUUCAGAUUUGUAUCUUUUAUACUUAACAUACUUCAAGCUGUACAACAACUGUGAAGAAGGGUAUAGUAACCCACAGUAUCAAUCCUGUUAGAACUCAUCAUUCCUCAGGUUGGAAUAAAGGAGCCAGAAGAAGAGGUAUCUUUGUGAUUCAUCCACUUAUACAGAGCGGGAAGAGCUGCAUUACCACUGUUCCUGUGGUUGUGUAUUACACAGUCAUUAAGUUGGGGAGAAAAGAAAACACUGAAGUCAAACAAGAAAUUAAUUUGCACCUUUGCCCUAAAUCUUAUGCCUGGCAGUUUUCUUGGUAAGGUACUUAUUCCAUAUACCUUAAGCUACUGUGAUAAGCUACUCCUAGACAGAUAGGAUGGAGGGGCCUAAAUUCUGCUUAAUAUAAAAAUUAUCUGUAAUGAGGGAAAGCAUCGGCAUCUCCGUCCUGGGCUUCACCUUAGCUAACUACCAAAUCACCACGGAUAUGCAUGGGAAAAGUAUGUCUCAAUAUAUAGUCAAAUGUUUUACAUCAAUGUUCAAGAUUGACGUAGAUAGUAUUUUUAAGUGGUCAAUUUCCAUGGGUAUGUAAUGUCUGUACAAGCUGUUUCUUUAUGUACUACUAUGUAGACUUUUUUUCUCCAGAAAAGACAGCAUUCAGCAACAAGAAAAGGUGUGUGUCUAGAGAGGGUGCCAGUUCCGCUAGGCUCCCAAGAACUAUCUCUGGAUGGAAAACAAAAGUUUAGAUUGGUUUAAUUUCACAUUCUACAGUAGGAGAUGAAAAUGAAGUCUCACAUAUGCCAGUUUUACUACGAUGUUACUAAGAAAGGCAGAAAAUGGUGAGAAGGAGGGAAAGAAAAGCAAUCCGAGAAUGCACAGGAAAGAAAAAAAGUGCUAGCAAUUAGAGAGAAAACUAAAUUGAGGUACUACAUUGUAAACGUAAAAUUUAUCAACUUUAUCAUCUCAUUCAUAAGAACACAAAUUUAAAACCUGGAGGGAAAAAUAACCCAAUUAUUCGUAUAACAUAUUUGAUUACUGUAUUUUGAAGGUAUGUUUUACCUCUAAGCUCAUAAACUUCUCUAUAUCUUGUAAUUUAUAAACACUUGUAUUGGUUUUAUGUACUUCACUGCCAGAUCAUAAGCAAUUGAUACUCUUCCUAGCUUGCUAAGAGAAGCCAAAUAUUCUCUUGAAAUAUGCUAUGAAUAUUUCCAUCCAUGUUUUUAAUCCCAUGCACAGUCCUAUAGCUUCAGAUAAUGUGCUAGAUACUACACUUUCCAUCUGUACAGUAACAAAAUUACUGCCGUAGCUAUACAGCUCUGGGCUUGCGUAGGGGAGAAUUUCAAAUGGCUUCUAGCCCAUCCAUUUUGCAGAACUCAUGGAAACACUAUGUGAGCCAGCCUGUGUCAUGCGUUGCAGAAGUGGGAGUAGCAGUGAGUGUGUAUUACUGUAAGUGUUGUCUAGCUCUGUGGAGGCACUAAAUUGACCAUUGCUAAAUAUAAUAUCCCAAAUCUCAUGCCAUCUUUGUUGGCAUUUGUAGGCUGGUGCAUCAUAAGUCCCUACUUGACUGUCACAGGAGCUCAAAGGACAAUUGGUAAAACACGACUUGGGUUCAGAGCCAAAAGGUGAACGUUUCUGGGUUGUUAACUAAUGGAGGAGCUCUAAUUCGUUUGAGCUACAGUCACUUCGUACAAGAUCAUAUGAUCUUACUUAGCUAAUACUGUAUCUGGUUAUUGUUUAAAAUGAGUUCACUUCUUCAUUACAGUAAGUCAUAGUUACAAGUGUACAAGCACAAUGAAGGGUGGGAUUCGCUUGCCUUAUGGUAUUCCACUUGAAUCUCCAGAAGGUCCCUUUUCUUUUGUAGGUCUUGUGUAACAUCUACCAGGUCUGUGCAGAUGUCUCUUACACCUUUUGGACAUGUGGCAUGGCCACUGCAAACUGUUGAUCAGUCAGCUAAAUCUCACUGUAAGCAUGCAGAAACAUUUUUCUAUUAACCACUUCUGCUCUCAGAAUAGUCUGAAUAACAGCUUGGGUUCAGGAUUUUGACAAGAACUAAAUGAUUCUGUUGAAGGUAAUGCAGUCAUUCCCUAGUUUUGGCUUUCAGAACUGUGUUAGUAUUUUACCUUCAUCAAGUCACUGUGUUGGAUAGACCAUAAAGUAGAGGAGUAAGGGAGGAGGCUGAAAAGUUCACUAUGGUGUAAUCACCCAGAUUUAGAUAUAGUGGUCUGAUAAAAAAAAAAAAAAAAUCACAGCAGCUAAAUUUGAAGUGUCUGGAAAUGACACUUUACGCUGCCGGCCAUCUCUCAAAUUCUCAUUAAUUUAUAUUAUUGUUCCUAGUUUGAAAUGUUUCAUGUCUGGGCUCUGAUUGUGAUUGAAAUAUAGGGAAGGGAAACAUGAUGCAUUGCCCAUAGAUUCAAAUUACCUUUGUACAGAUCCAGUUCACAUAAGUCUAGAUAUUCCUGUUCAUUUAGAACAUGAGAAGUUUCCAUGUACAUGUUAAAACUUUUCUGACAACUUUUAGAAGUUUUUAAGGCCUCUUUACCUAACAAGCAGCUUUAUAUUAUGCAAUUUGUUGUAUCAUUCAUAAAUAAAGAUGAUCACUGAAAUGUUAACAUUAUCUUUUAUGGUAUUGUGUUUGUUUAAAAAUACUAUUUGAAAGCUUCACAGACAGUUUUCUUCACCUUUCAGAUAUUUGCAUGACUUGUCAAAGGUUAUUACACUUAGACUGAUGGCAGGGUUUUGUUUUUUACAGAACAGGUAUGAGAGUUGUCUCUGUUUUUGCACACACGCACGCCCUCUGCACACCCCAAAUCCUGAUAGGACUGAAGAACUGUUACCCUAUCAGCUUAAGGAGUAGAGAAAUGCAAAAAUAAGUUUCCCAGAGAGUAUAGUCUGCUAUCCAGUUUGCAUAACAGUACUAUUUUGUUGUGUACUAACAAAUGAAUAUUUAGUCUGGUCUGACAAUAUGCUCAAAACCCCAACAGGCUGUGGCUGGAACUAAAGGCAAGGCAGGAAAAAAGUUAUCUUGAAUUUUUGUAAUUCUGUUUUGAUUAAAGAAGGUUAGCAUGAGAAUGGGUUUUAAGUAAUCCAAAUUGGGCAGCCUUCCUUCUUGCUACCCUGGAAAGGUUUGGAAACUCCCUGUUAUUUGGGAAGCUGGCAGACCACUUCUCUGUUAGACAUGGAGAGAUGAUGCUGCUUGACUUAAAGCAUUUCCCCAUCUCUAGAAUUUUUCUGCUUGCUUUUAAAAAGACAUGAUGUAGCUAAUCAGAGGGCUGAUUUUCACGCCAGAAGGUGUUUUUCCCCCUAGCAAGUCAAUUAAAGUAUACAUCCCUACUUCAGGUUUCCUUCUGUCUAUUUAUAGCUAUCCAUCUGAUUUUCAUUACUAGAGGCAUAAUUGAUCUUUUGUCCCAUUUCAAAGCUUGUAUGCACCUGUCUUACAGGUUAGUAAUGAAAUCAAUUAUCCCUCUGGC